CCUACGGGAGGCAGCAGUGAGGAAUAUUGGGCAAUGGAGGCAACUCUGACCCAGCCAUGCCGCGUGAGUGAAGAAGGUUUUCGGAUUGUAAAGCCCUUUCGGAUGUGACGAUGAUGACGGUAGCAUCUAAAGAAGCCCCGGCUAACUUAGUGCCAGCAGCCGCGGUAAUACGAAGGGGGCAAGCGUUGUUCGGAAUUACUGGGCGUAAAGGGGGUGUAGGCGGUUUAGUAAGAUAGUGGUGAAAUCCCAGGGCUUAACUUUGGAAUUGCCAUUAUAACUAGUUUACUAGAAUUACAGAGAGGAUAGUGGAAUACCCAGUGUAGAGGUGAAAUUCGUAGAUAUUGGGUAGAACAUCGGUGGCGAAGGCGACUAUCUGGCGCAUAACUGACGCUGAUGAGCGAAAGCGUGGGUAGCGAACAGGAUUAGAUACCCUAGUAGUC
rnacentral:rRNA from 1 species